rnacentral:lncRNA from 1 species
GCCAUCUGGGAAAUGUAAACAGGAUCAGAAGGUAGCUGGGCAGGGGAAGGAUGAGAGGGAGGGAAAAGUGUGCUAAAGGAGAAACUGAGAUCAGAGCAGGGGAAAACUGGAAGUAGCUGGCUGGGUAAAGAUCUGAGGGCACACAGCUGAUGAGAAGAUAAGUCUGAAGACUGCUUGUAUCCUAUGUGUGGGAACGCAGGAAAGAGAGGUAUGGCAACAUAAAUAGGCAGAAGGUCAGCAAAAUUUAUCACAGAGUGGCAAGAAUGAGUAGAUAAGAAACUACAAAAUAGAAUGUGAAUUCAAAUAGUCUGGACAAUGAGACUGACUGAGGAAAAGUAACUCUAUGUAUAGAAGGACUGAGAACCCAGAUGUGUUAGACAAGGAGAGAAACAUGCUGGGAUCAGUAAGUUUCUUGAGAAACAUGAAAUUGGGAUGCUGAGUCAACAGGAGGGAAGCGAAAUGGCUUCGUUUGGAUCACAAGCAGAAUAUCCCUUCAGCCACCAAGUAACUCAAACCCUUGGUAAAACCAACUCCUUGCUAAAUUCAUCACAAGCCACAGGUACAAAAACAAGAAGUCAACGCAGCAUGGCUCUCACAGCAAUCUUCUUGUGGCAACACUUCACAACACAGAGCAAGCCUCUCCCAGCUGAAGAACAAAAACUUAUCGUCACAGAAGCAGAAACAAAGCAUUAUGCAUACCUUGCUGCUUCCGUUGCCUCAGCAGGUUUCCAGGAAUGGGAACAGCUGGAGAAACUGAAUGUUAUGCUUCAUUGA